rnacentral:miRNA from 1 species
AAUGUGAACGAGCAACAAAACG